UACGUAGGUGGCGAGCGUUGUCCGGAAUUAUUGGGCGUAAAGAGCGCGUAGGUGGGACCAUAAGUCUGCAUGUAAAAGUGCGGGGCUCAACCCCGUGAGGCGUGGGAAACUAUGGUUCUUGAGUGCAGGAGAGGGAAGCGGAAUUCCCAGUGUAGCGGUGAAAUGCGUAGAUAUUGGGAGGAACACCAGUGGCGAAGGCGGCUUUCUGGACUGUGUCUGACACUGAGGCGCGAAAGCCAGGGGAG
rnacentral:rRNA from 1 species